UACAGGGAUGUUAUCAAAAAUGAUUUGAGGAUGGCAUUUGUGAACAUCAGGUGAUUUUGUGCAGUUAUCUGAAUCAGGUAUGUUAUCAGAAAUGAUUUGUGGAUGGCAUUUGUGAAUGUCAGAUGAUUUUGUGCAGUUAUCUGAAUCAGUGAUGUUAUCAGAAAAUAUUAUAGGAUUGCAUUUUUUAACGUCAGCUGGUGCAGUUAUGAAUAUCUUCAUCAGUGAUAUUAUCAGAAACGAUUGGAGGCUUGAUGAUUGUAAGCGAGUGAUUUUGUUUACUUAAGUGAAGAAAUAUGUAAAUAUAAGAUGAGGAAGAAGACGAGUGUGAUGCAUAAUGUUCUUAAUACUUAAAUAAGCGAGGUGAAAUGAAAAAUCAAAGACUAUAUUAUAUCUCAGCCAGUGUGAGAUGAAACGUUUGUAAUCUAUCAUCGAAGGCAAUUUAACAGCAAAAACUGCAAAAAAUCUAGCAAAGUGAUAUUAUCAGAAACGAUUGGAGGCUUGAUGAUUGUCAGCGAGUGAUUUUGUUUACUUAAGUGAAGAAAUAUGUAAACAUAAGAUGAGGAAGAAGACUAGGAUGAUGCAUAAUGUUCUUAAUACUUCAAUAAGAAGAUGAAAAGAAAAGUGUGUGAUAAAACGUUUGUAAGCUAUCAUCAAAGGCAAUUUAACAGCAAAAACUACAAAAAAUCUGGGAAAGUGCUGUUAUCAAAAAAGAUUAGAGGAUUUAUGAUUGUCAGCGAGUGAUUUUCUUUACUUAAGUGAAGAAGUAUGUAAAUAUAAGAUGAGGAAGAAGACUAUGAAGAAGAUGAGUAUGAUGCAUAAUGUUCUUAAUUUUUAAAUAAGCGAGAUGAAAAGAAAAAUCAAAGACUAUAAUGUAUCUCAGUCAGUGUGUGAUGAAACAUUUGUAAGCUAUCAUCAAAGGCAAUUUAACAGCAAAAACUACAAAAAAUCUAGCAAAGUGCUGUUGUUAGAAUAGAUUUGAAGAUUGCUUUUGUGAAUGUCAGCAAGUGAUAUUGCUUAGUGAACUGAAGAAAGUAUGUAAAUAACAGG